CAUGAUACAUACGUCCCACUUGACAACACAACUUAGAUUAGCUACAAACUCUUUUUACUCUAUAUGUUUAUGAGGUAUUAUACUAUAAAUCCCUUCUUGCUCUGCUUCUGCUCACCCCUGUCUCCUCUCAUCUUUCCGGCUCCCGCCACGAGGGAAAAUGAAUGAAUCUUGUGUGGAUGUCUGAGUUACAGCUGCUGGUGACCCUUGCUCAGCUGUGCUACAUCCUUGUAUUAUUAAUCUUCAUGCCAUUUCCUGCUCCAAUUAACUCUCUGGAAAUAGAAACCUUGCAACUACUUUCGUCAACCAAGUUAGUUUUCAUCUAAUUUGAUAUGUACCUGCAAAGCCAUGACAAAUGAACGAAUAGUUAAUCUUGGAGUGAAACCAUAGAAUUGACAGCGCAAAGCUGAAUGUAAAAUCCGAGCACAACAUCAUAUCCAACUAAGAUUUGGGAUACCUUUUCCUGCAAGCAGGCCACACAGCAACAACAUCUCCAAAGCUAAGCAUCAGUUCGAAUAUAUGCUCAAUCCUCCAUGUCACUGGAAGUAACAUCUAAGCACCUGAAAGACUAAUCUUGUAUCAGACUAUCAGUAGGCAACAACUGCAGAGCAGUAACUAUAUGUGAGCAUAUCACAUAAAUCAAAAGACAAUUUAAAUGAAAGGGUCAAUUAUUAAAAGGAGAAAAUCUUAAGAUGGCAUGCCUCAAACCCAGCAGAGAGGCAAGCAGCCCCCAAAAACAUACUGUAGUGAUCGCUGAUGAAUCCUAAACUUAUCCUAAUCUACUUCACUUCAAAUGCGGUGUGCCACAAUUGGAUUACAACCACCGAUUGUAGAAAUAAAAAUGUGUUGAUAUGGGAGAGCUUUGCCUUCCAGGUGGCCUCUAGCUCGGCGACCUCAUGCUCACGCAAUGCAAUGUAGCUCUGCAUCUCACGCUCCUUCAUGGUGUGAAAAAAAAAACAGAAAACAAGAUAAAAUUAGUUUUCAGUUGCUCAUAUCUGCCUCCUUGGCUCUCUGAGAAUCAGGAUGUUUCCCGUUGUUAGGUAUGGUAGGAAACUUAUACUACACAAGAACAACUUCUAUCAAUUUAAAAUUUGAAGUUUCCAUGGUAAAGAUUAUGCUUAGUAUUCUGGACAAUUUCUUGAUCAUGUUCCUUAGCGGGCAAUGUAGUAAAAUUGGGACGAUCUGCUUCAGCAACCAUUGAUUCCAGAUCACCUGGUGUGGUUUGCUCUUGAGCAUUCUUAUCCCCAGGCUGUUGCUGAAAAAAAAAUAAUUUGGAGAUGACAUAUUAGAUGAAAAGUAAAAUAAGCCUUUUUCUCGACCUACAGUUUUCCUAGGCUAAAUGCAGGCUGUAGGAUGUGAUCAGCAAAAAAAGAGUGCCACAGGACAACAAAUUAUUAACAAUAUAAGCAUUUGACAGUAGUUGUACACUGCAGAUUUUCACAUUUGAUCUUAUCUGAAAGUAAAAGUUCUUAUUUAAGAACCUUAAUCCUGAAUAAUCCCAUAAUCUUUCCUAGCAAGUAUAUUGCAAGAUUGUGACAAAUUCUAAUACAUAAUGCAGUGAGCGCUGCUUAUCCCAAAUUAAAUUAGAUUUGUUGCAUCCAAACAAAUGAAUUCUAGUGCCCCAUAGAAUGGAGAUUAAUUAAACCAAUUUUGAAGCAUGUGUCAUACUUUUGAGAAAAAAAUAAAGCUUACCAAAUGAUAGAUGCAGAUAUACCUGUCUUGAUUUUCACUUGUAAUUUCUAAGUCUCUACCUGCAGUCAAAAUUAAUUAUUAGACCAGAACCAAAAAAGGAUUGGAGCAAAGAGUAGGGAUAUCUGUCUUGCAUUCAGUGCAUGCCAGGCUAUUCAGAGGUAAAUCUAAGAAAAGCAAUGCAAUAUCUUGAUAAUCUUCAGUUACUUCUAGUUCUAGCAUUCAUAGCCAAUAGCAAUAAAUACAGAAACAGGUUCAGACUUCUGAAAGAACUGCUUGGUAUAUCCUGUAC
rnacentral:lncRNA from 1 species